CUCUCCGGUCAGGGAAAGAACAGUAUAAGGCAGCCCUUCCCUUUGGAUAGAAAUCCAGAUUGGGAGGAAAAGGGAGCGAUGGCGGUCAGUGACUUCCAGGGAAAGGAUACAUCGACAAGGUGGACCCCAGCUCCCAUCGCCCACAGCUACGACGGCUGGCCGGGAAGUUCUCUGCUUUACACGGCGAAGCGAAGCAACAGCCCACCCCAUAAAGCCUGUUUCGAUCAGUGUUCUGCAAGGAAACUUUUGUGCCCGCUCACGGGCCCGGACCGGUGCCGAAGAAACGGGGUCGCUUGCAGACCGAGCAAAUCUGAGAGGCGCUGAAGGGCACCCUGAAGAUGGUGCACCUGACCCUCGGAGGCCCUUGUCCAUCUGCGGCCUCCGUCCAUGGGCCAGGCCGAAACUUGUCAGGCCAAGGGUGGCACUGAACACUGAGCCUGCUCGUCCUUGGUGGUCCUCUGAACAAAACAAGCCCCAGCCCCAGGCAAAAGUCAGCAGGAGGCUUUAUGCUAAGCAGAGUUGGAUCGGGUAGGGCUUGGAUGGAAGACCAUGAGUAGAAGCAGAGCCAGAAGAGAUCCAGGUCCACCACCUGGGAGGUCAAAACAGCCUCGUGGCUAACCGCUUCUCUACUGUUGCCAAGAGGACUGCCUGCCGUGCGCCCACGUCAUUAUUAGGAGUUCAGUCUUGACUCCUGGGAAACGUCUCCCCAAAUCACCCUCUCAAAUUGGCAAAGACUCUGAGCAGCGAUGGCCGUUGAGAGAGCAAACCACGCCUUCGUCACAAGGAAAAAGAGAUCUGGAUGGAAGGUCUGGUCUUCGCCAAUGCCCCCGUCACAUUUAGCACUUCGCUGAAUGCCCGCCAGAUCCCAGGACCCCUCCACUCUGGGGUGCGAAUCGGGGCCUGGAAGAAGCACACGGGAGAUGCCGCUGCAGGAGAUCCCAGCGCCCGAGGGCCUGGGGCACUGACAGGGAGCCCGUGGCCAGCGACCGAUGCCAGCUCCCCUGAAAAGAGGAAGAUGAAUAGCGGAGCUGGGCGCCCUGUUCCAAGGCUCUGCCAAUAUUUUUCUGUUUGUCAGGGUUCAACUUGAGCGUGCAGCUCCAGAACGCCAGGGCUGCCGUGUUUAGAAGAGAGGCCGUUCAGAAAGGAAACCUGGCCUGUCGCGGGAGACUGCUCCUAAUGGUCUGAAAAUAAACCUAAUAUUUGUCUUGGCUCCCUGUUACCUUUCAAUACAUGCUUCAGACUGAGCCCAGCCAACUCCAGCUUUU